rnacentral:pre_miRNA from 1 species
AAAUAGAAAAGCUUCCGGUUUUUUGACAUCGCAAUACCGGAGUCUUUUCUGUGUCC